CAAUAGCGUAUAUUAAAGUUGUUGCAGUUAAAAAGCUCGUAGUUGGAUUUCUGGUUGAAGCGACCGGUCGGGCGUUGAUUCGUCUGCACUGGAGUCGGUUUUGGCCAUCCUCUAGGAAAGUACGUCUGGUAUUAAGUUAUCGGGCGUAUGAUCCUGGUCUUUUACUGUGAAAAAAUUAGAGUGUUUAAAGCAGGCCUUCGCCUUGAAUACAUUAGCAUGGAAUAAUAAGAUAGGACUUUGGUCUAUUUUGUUGGUUUGCAGACCGAAGUAAUGAUUAAUAGGGAUAGUUGGGGGUAUUUAUAUUCCGAUGUCAGAGGUGAAAUUCUUAGAUUUUCGGAAGAUAAACUUAUGCGAAAGCAUUUACCAAGGAUGUUUUCAUUAA
rnacentral:rRNA from 1 species